CCUACGGGCGGCUGCAGUGAGGAAUAUUGGUCAAUGGGCGUGAGCCUGAACCAGCCAAGUCGCGUGAAGGAUGAAGGUUCUAUGGAUCGUAAACCUCUUUUAUAAGGGAAUAAAGUGCGGGACGUGUCCCGUUUUGUAUGUACCUUAUGAAUAAGGAUCGGCUAACUCCGUGCCAGCAGCCGCGGUAAUACGGAGGAUCCGAGCGUUAUCCGGAUUUAUUGGGUUUAAAGGGUGCGUAGGUGGGCUUUUAAGUCAGUUGUGAAAGUCUGCGGCUCAACCAUAGAAUUGCAGUUGAUACUGGCAGGCUUGAGUAUGGUUGAGGUAGGCGGAAUUCGUGGUGUAGCGGUGAAAUGCUUAGAUAUCACGAAGAACCCCGAUUGCGAAGGCAGCUUGCCAAGCCAUGACUGACGCUGAUGCACGAAAGUGUGGGGAUCAAACAGGAUUAGAUACCCUUGUAGUC
rnacentral:rRNA from 1 species